CUGCAUUAGAGCCACCUCCCUUAAAUGACCUCCUUGUUUAAUUAAUUUAACAAAAGGACCCUGGAAAACCAGCAGAAGUUGGAGAAAGAGAAUAUCAGACAAGGGGCACCGGGUUCAUAUUCUUGAAAUGAGGAAGAUACCCAGGACGUGCACGUUUCUUUCACGACAUAACGGAUGCUACAGGUCCAUGACCUUUGUAAAACGGUGUUCUUUCCUGGCAUAUCUAGACGAGCAGGAGGCACACAGAGGUGUGUGGACAACAUUUUAAUGGCUACGAUAAACACAAGUCUCUACCACUGAGAAGAAUGCAGCCUUGGGUCCUUGGA